rnacentral:lncRNA from 1 species
UUGAGAGGGAUUGUAAAGCAAACAAUAAAAUUUGUUUGAUAAAAUUAAGACUUCGUUUGAGAUUGCGGUGGGGUUGCGGGGAGAUUGCAUUACGUGCUGUGAGAAACGACGAUGGAAAAAUAUUCUGUUUGUUUCCGUACGUAAUAUUGCGUUCCGCAUAUUGCGGUUAGUCAAUUACGAUAUAUUUUCUGCAGUUCCAUCGGAGAACGCAGAAGCAUAUCCCUAUAUGCUUUUUCUUAACUCCAUUCUAUCUAAUAGUGUUAGAUCCACCUCAAUAUCAAACUAAUCCUAACUCCAAUUCUUGUUACUGUAAUAACUCAAAUUUUUACAAAAGCUAAUCAUAUAUUUCUCAUCACAUGAUCA